rnacentral:rRNA from 1 species
GACGAACGCUGGCGGCGUGCCUAAUACAUGCAAGUCGAGCGCAGGAAGCCAUCUGAACCCUUCGGGGGGACGACGGUGGAAUGAGCGGCGGACGGGUGAGUAACACGUAAAGAACCUGCCCAUAGGUCUGGGAUAACCACGAGAAAUCGGGGCUAAUACCGGAUGUGUCAUCGGACCGCAUGGUCCGCUGAUGAAAGGCGCUCCGGCGUCGCCCAUGGAUGGCUUUGGGGUGCAUUAGCUAGUUGGUGGGGUAACGGCCCACCAAGGCGACGAUGCAUAGCCGACCUGGGGGGGUGAUCGGCCACACUGGGACUGAGACACGGCCCAGACUCCUACGGGAGGCAGCAGUAGGGAAUCUUCCACAAUGGACGAAAGUCUGAUGGGGCAACGCCGCGUGAACGAUGAAGGCUUUCGGGUCGUAAAGUUCUGUUGUAAGGGAAGAACAAGUGCCGCAGGCAAUGGCGGCACCUUGACGGUACCUUGCGAGAAAGCCACGGCUAACUACGUGCCAGCAGCCGCAGUAACAC